UGGUGGUGUGCGGCGUCGCCGUCUCCGGCCUCUUGGCGCCGCCCGCGGCACGGCCAUGGUGGUGGUGCGGCGUCGCCGCGUCCUUCUUGAUCAUCUCGCGCGCUGGUCGAUGGAAAAGGGCAAGCCCAUGCCCAUGGCGUCGCCGAACCACCGCAACGACCUUGUUGAGAUUCCGAGUGAGGAAACAAGCCGGCCCGGAGGCUCUGAUCACGGCUUGCUACAGCGCUGCUCUGUUUAACUCAUCCAAAGUUGGGAGCUUCAGGAAGCAGGCCAAGGACCUUUCAAGGCUUCUUCUCCUCCUCCAGGUCCAGGAAGGCCGCGGACCAGAGCAACUCUGCUUGAUGCGAGGGUUCAGCUGGCUGCUCAGAGUGCACGCACUGAUUUCAGCUUGCUUGAUGAGAAGAUCCUCUUGGGCUCUUGGCGCUCAGUUGUGUUGGUUCAGUUGAAAUCACCAAAGUCUCCGGCACUGACUGUAUUGCAGCCUUCUUCGCACUGCACACUUCAGUUGAGUAUCUUCUGUCUUGUACGCAUGUUGGAAUUGGAGAUAUGGAUGCCACAAAAAGUUCUUCUCAUGGGAAAUGUUGAUGUCAAUGAAGCUGACCCUGAAGAAAACACUGCAAUACUUGUGCCUCGGUGUUAGCUCAAGAACACAGGAGCCAAGGAUUGUGUGGUUUCUGCUGAACAAUGGUGCUGGAGUUUUCAGGGGGAAAAACGUACAUUGUAUUAUGCCAGUAAUAAAGUGUGUACACUUGCCUGAGAUUUUCUGCUUUCUUCUAUCAGAUCAUCAGUUCCCAAUAUCUCCACCUACCUCCAAUAUCAGCGAGGACUUGCCUCAGGUUGAUGCAAGCAGCAAGAGCAAUACUGAAAACCAGCAGGAUGGUGAUGCUUGCAGAAGUAGAAGCCAAAAUGUUCCUGUAUUCAUAAGGCAUUUUUCUGGAUUGAUUGUAUUGACACUCAACAUGGAUGAAUCUUCAGAACAUAUGAUGAACUUGUAUGAAUAGAAGACGAAGACAAAAAUCGCAAAUAGGUAUUUCUCAGAUGGGCUGGAAAAAAAAUCGAGACCGAGCGCACCUUACGGUUCUAUGGGAUAGCGCGAAAUGCUAAAGUCCAUCUUUGUGGCCGGCUGCUCGGGGGAAAGACUGAUACCCUGGAGAAUUACGUCAGUGAUAAUGGAGAGAACUUCUCAGUGGAGGUUACUUUACCAGAUGGAAAUGUUUCAUUGGAUAUGACUAAGCUAGGAUGCUUAAUCCUAUUAACUCCCUAAAUGCUUCACGCAUGCAUUUGCUUAGUCCAAGAGCUGGAAUGGAGACAUUACAAUGAAUGAUUUAAAGUAACCAGCAUGGAUGUGCAGAGGCGGAGCUUGGCCUGAGAAAUAGGAGGCAGAGGCGGAGGAUAGUUAUGGCCAAGGUGGGCCAUGGGCCCCCUGCUUUUGUAUUUUCCCUUUGAGUAACAGUGAUUUGUGCAACUUAAUUAAGCACUUACCAGUAGAAAUGGCCGUGCGUUGCUAUGAA